UCUACCGCCGCCCUUUCCAUCCUUAAUUUCCUCCGCCGACCCCGUCUCAUCUCCGCCGCCGGCACCGCGCCCGCCGUCCACGCGCAUCCGCCGUCCACGGCUCACCGCCGUUUGCCGCUCCCCUCUGCUGCCGCGUCCGUCGACGCCGCACCCGCGCGGUCCAAGCCGUACACCGUCCGCUGGAAGCAGCCACCCCACCGGCCCU
rnacentral:lncRNA from 1 species